AUUGAACGCUGGCGGCAGGCCUAACACAUGCAAGUCGAGCGAGCGGCGGACGGGGGAGUAAUGUCUGGGAAACUGCCUGAUGGAGGGGGAUAACUACUGGAAACGGUAGCUAAUACCGCAUACCAUCAGAUGUGCCCAGAUGGGAUUAGCUAGUAGGUGGGGUAACGGCUCACCUAGGCGACGAUCCCUAGCUGGUCUGAGAGGAUGACCAGCCCCACUGGCACUUAGACACGGUCCAGCGUCCUCCGGAAGGCAGCAGUGGUGAAUAUUGCACACUGGGCGCAAGCCUUAUGCAGCCAUGCCGCGUGUGUUAAGAAGGCCUUCGGGUUGUAAAGCACUUUCAGCGGGGAUGCGUUACCCGCAGAAGGAGCACCGGCUAACUCCGUGCCAGCAGCCGCGGUAAUUC
rnacentral:rRNA from 1 species